rnacentral:rRNA from 1 species
UACGGGGGGGGCAAGCGUUGUUCGGAAUUACUGGGCGUAAAGGGCUCGUAGGCGGCCAACUAAGUCGGAUGUGAAAGCCCUCGGCUUAACCGAGGAAGUGCAUCCGAAACUGAGUAGCUAGAGUACGAAAGAGGGUCGCGGAAUUCCCGGUGUAGAGGUGAAAUGCUUAGAUAUGGCACAGAACACCGAUAGUGAAGACAGCUCACGAAGGCGAAACUGACACUGAGGCACGAAAGCGUGGGGAUCGAACAGG